AUGUCUGAAUAAACUGAUUUUCCAGUGGUUCCCCGUCGAGAGCAGACGCAGCGUCACACCAGACCGAUGACGUCAUCCAGGUGCGGUAGGCCGCGUGACUCUGGGAGAGACGCUUGCGUGGAUCUGGCGACGCGACUCGACGCCACAUCAAAUCAAAGGUGAGACGACAUGCAGACGGACCAUCAGCAGACUGAAUACAGACGCCUGUCAGGCUCUAAAUCACUCCUUUACUGCCCUAUUCCACGAUAACACAGACGGAAGCCCUUUGAACUGUCAACAAGCGUCGUUUGGCAUCACUGUCCGAUCAUCUUUCACUCUUCUGUUAAAUGCUUUUCGCGUUUAAAGGUUUAAAUUGAUCAAAUCCUUAGGUUCUUGCGUCAAUAUAGACACUUGUAAAAAGGAUUCCUGUCAGAACUUGGAUUCAAUCAGUAUGGGUUACAAUAAGAAUAUCCAAGAAUGACUAAAUACCAGGCCCCACCGUGACUCUGUGGGCAGGCUGGGCUUUGAAGUGUCGGGGAGGUUAUAGGGAUACGGACUGAGCCGUGAUGCUGGACGAGACUGGGAGGUGCUGUGAUGUGUCUGACGGCUCGCUGCACAUUAAAGUUACCUGUGAAGAAGGAAAACACACAAAAUAAUGUUAAAUAACACUGAUAUUAACCUGUCAGGCUUUGUCAUUACAAUAAAAUUGUGAGAUAAAAAGUCAAA